UGGGGAAUUUUGCGCAAUGGGGGAAACCCUGACGCAGCGAUGCCGCGUGGAGGACGAAGGUCUUCGGAUUGUAAACUCCUUUUGCUGGGGAAAAAUACCUGCGUGAAUAACGCAGGUUGAUGGUACUCAGCGAAUAAGCCACGGCUAACUUCGUGCCAGCAGCCGCGGUAAGACGAAGGUGGCGAGCGUUACUCGGAAUUACUAGGCGUAAAGCGUGGGUAGGCGGUUCGGUAAGUCUGUUGUGAAAGCUCCCGGCUCAACUGGGAGAGGCCAAUGGAUACUGCCGGGCUUGAAUCGAGGAGAGGUCACUGGAAUUCCUGGUGUAGCGGUGAAAUGCGUAGAGAUCAGGAGGAACACCAAUGGCGAAAGCAGGUGACUGGACUCGUAUUGACGCUGAGCCACGAAAGCUAGGGGAGCAAACAGG
rnacentral:rRNA from 1 species